CAACAGAUGAUUUCCUUGUGGACUACUUUAAUGAAUUCCUUAGCCUUCCACUUUAUGAAGGAUUUAUAUGUUGGAUGGAUUGUUGGAACAUAGAUGGCCGGCCCCUCCACUUACGUGAAUACGCAGCAAAGUCUAUAGGAAAUAGUGGACAGAGAUGGGCGCGUUGAAGUUGGUGUUGACCAGGAUUCCGUCUCUCCCCAGUUGCAAACUCUUCACUGGCUCCCCGUCCUCCUAAAGCAGUGAUUUUCGAACUUGAACAUGCAUCAGAGUCACCUGAGCAUUUGUUAACACAGAGUGCCGGGAUUAUAGGGAGGGGCCUGGGAAUUGCAUUUCUUGUAGGGCCCAAGGUGAUGCCAGUGUUGCAGGUCCAGGCACCCCAGUCUGAGAACCAGGGAUUGGAGAGAAUUCAGUUGAGAGUUAGGCAUGUAAUAGAAAGUCCUUGAUGAGCUCGUCCUCUGCAUUUUUCUCUAGGCUUGUAUCUUAUUCCCCCCUCGAAUAAUAAGCUUCAGCAAUGUCAAACUGCUGCAGUUCAUCAAUAUACAUGUGUUAUUACUCAAAAUGAAUUAUCUGUGCUCUGCAUAGAGAGUGAGGGUGAUUUAAAGAGUGAGGAUGAUUUUAUCUGUUGUACUAAUCCAUAAACACACAUAUACCAGUCCGUGAGCAUCCUGAUGCGGGUGUGAGAUGGAAGAUGAGAACCUGCUGUUCC